CUCCUCCUUACCUUCUGUUAUAUGCCUCGCUCCACCAUAGCCAGGUGUAAACUGUGCUUAAUUAAAGACCGCAGGAAGGAGCUUGGCUGAGGAGCAUAACAUGUGGGGAAAAGCACGUCAAGGCCCAUAUUUCUUUCUCUGCAGAUGAUGUCAUCUCACAGGGAAACCAAGUCACUUUCAUUUCUAAAAACAGGGAUGGAACCCUGACUGCAGUUGAUCAAGUCAAGUCAGCUUCAUCCAAGAAUAUUUGGAAUUUCCUGACAAACACCUCCAUGACCACCAUGCAUAGAGUAAUGUUACCAACGUGCUUAUAGGUGUCUUCCUCUUCUGGCUACAACUAUGAAAAACAGAAAAGGCAACUAUAACUGUGGAAUGUAAAAUAAACACAAAACAGCUUGGAAAUAAUAAGGAGGAAAGGGGAAGAAACCCACCACCAAUGUGACUUUACUGCUGACAUGCUGGCACAGAAGCGGAAGGGACUCAUUACACCAAAGUAGGUGAUGGAAACAUUGCAGGACUGUGAGCUAUUGACAUUUUUCUUGUCAACAGUGAGGGACACGCAUAUUGUGUGAUUAAGCCAUUUCGUGUUUUAGUAUAAAAGUUCCAUUCUACUGAUGUGCAAUAACAUUACGAUAUUUUUAGAAAAGACAAAGGGGAAGUUAAGGAGACUUUUUUGUUCAUAUAUAUUACAGAAUUAAAAAUAAAUCAAACAUUUAAUAUUGUAGCUCAUGCCAGGUAUUGUGAGAAAAUUGUCAAGGACAACAGAAACAUUAUUUAAAUAUAUUAAAAAAGACUGAGAACAAAGGUAUCAGAUUCUAAAAGUUCUGAAUUGC
rnacentral:lncRNA from 11 species